AGUGCACCAACUAAAAUUUUUCAUCUGAAGAGGUGCUACACUAUAUUUAUCCCAGCCAGGGGCAUCUCCAGACCUUGAUUAUGGGAGGGGGUGAAGUAAUUAAAUUUAAUAUUAAUGAUUGAUAAGAAAAAUAGACGGACACACUUUGCACGGUGUGUGGACCACUAUUAUAAAUCAGAUGUUGAGAAGGUAGGAUAUUGAGGGAAAUUUAAUGUAUGUCUUUAACUAAGCAAAUUUUUAAAAACAAAAACAAUUCUGAGUGGAGCUUGGUUAAGAGUAUUGCUCAGGGGCAUCUUCGGGUCAAUUUCAUAGGGGGCGAAGAAAUUUUACUAUUGAAUACCACCGCUUUAGUCAACAAAAAAAUAAAACUUUU